rnacentral:rRNA from 1 species
CCUACGGGGGGCAGCAGUGGGGAAUAUUGGACAAUGGGGGGAACCCUGAUCCAGCCAUGCCGCGUGUGUGAAGAAGGCCCUCGGGUUGUAAAGCACUUUCAGUGAGGAAGAACGCCUGGUGGUUAAUACCCAUCAGGAAAGACAUCACUCAUAGAAGAAGCACCGGCUAACUCCGUGCCAGCAGCCGCGGUAAUACGGAGGGUGCGAGCGUUAAUCGGAAUUACUGGGCGUAAAGCGCGCGUAGGUGGCUUGAUAAGCCGGUUGUGAAAGCCCCGGGCUCAACCUGGGAACGGCAUCCGGAACUGUCAAGCUAGAGUGCAGGAGAGGAAGGUAGAAUUCCCGGUGUAGCGGUGAAAUGCGUAGAGAUCGGGAGGAAUACCAGUGGCGAAGGCGGCCUUCUGGACUGACACUGACACUGAGGUGCGAAAGCGUGGGUAGCAAACAGGAUUAGAUACCCUGGUAGUC